rnacentral:tRNA from 3 species
GGCCCAUUGGUGAAGCGGUUAACACACAUGGUUUUCAUCCAUGCAUUCACGGGUUCGAGUCCCGUAUGGGUCACCA